GAAAGCCUUGAUGAAUCUGCCGUCCAGAAAUACUACGAACUUGUCAAGCUGCCUGAGAAUGCUUGUCUACCAUGGUACUUUUUUGGACUAAGAGAAAAUAAAUUUUGGCAAAAACUGAAACUUAUGAGCACAACCUACCAGAAGAGUAAGAUAUGGCCUUUAUCCCCGCUUGAAACAAGCAGCAUGUACUACCAGCAUUACACUUCUUUAGAAAUGCCUGCUGGAUCACUGCAAACACCAGUAUUUACAGAACAGGCCUCAGCUUCUGAUAAAUUUGGAUCAAUGGGGAGUCUCGCAGCAGAAGUGAUGACCCGCGGCUUCACGGAAGAAGGU